CUUUUUCGACCUUAAUAACGCCUGAAAGUCUUUGAUCAUCCAACAUACUGAGAAAACAGUGUGCAAAAUGUUUUGUGGUAGGAUUUGCUAGAAAGACCAACAUGGAACCGGACUCAUGCUUACGAAUGGCGAGGUCACUUGCGUGUGCGCUUGUGAGGAAGGGUCACGGUUCCGCGAGCGGCCCGGCGGCCUCGCGCUUCCCAGCCAUGGCCUUGGAGACAACAGGCGGCAGCCCCCCGCCCAAGCAAGGUCGGCUCAAAGGCGUGACCUCCGGCCCGCUGUCGCUCAGGCGGGAGGGGGCGGGGCCGUGCGAGCCGUCCAAUCAGGGGAGCCGCCGGGGCCGUACGUGCGGGCGACGCGCCGUGGACGCCGUGGACGCCGUGGACGGCGAGGGCCGUGUGCGGUGGCUGCUGUGCGGCCGAGCCUCGCACCCGCUGGCGCCGUCCUUGAGGGCUUCGGGAGGUUCCGCCGCGUCCUGGGUCGCCGUGACCUGCGCUGGCCGCGGCAGCCGGAUGGUGGGCGACCCGGCACCCCGGAAACCGAGCGAUGGCCUCCUGGACUGUCCGGUGUGGUGAUGGGACUGGAAGAAACAGCUUCCGGUUCUUCACUGUGUUUUAUUCAUUAAAACCUCCUGCAGAUCUGACCCCGUGCAUCAUGGAGUGCUGAGUUAAAUGGACUCAGUGACCUUUGAGGAUGUGGCUGUGAACUUCACCCUGGAAGAGUGGGCUUUACUGGAUUCUUCACAGAAGAAACUCUAUAGAGAUGUGAUGCGGGAAACCUUCAGAAACGUGGCCUCAGUAGAGAAAAAGUGGAAGGAUCAUGACACUGCAUACAGGUGCAAAACCCAGGGGAGAAAAACAGGAAGUCCUACGGUAGGCAAACCUUGUGAAAGCAAAGAGGGUCGUCAGCGGGGAGAAACCAUCAGCCAGAUUCCAGAUGUUAAUCUGAACAAGAAAACUCCGUCUGGGGUAAAAGCACCUGAAGGUCGUCCGUGUGGAGAAACCACCGGCCAGACUCCACAUCUUAGUCUGAGCACGAAAACUCCUUCUGGGGUAAAACCCUGUGACUGUGGCGUGUGCGGAAAAGUCUUUGUGACUCAUUCAUCCCUUACUAGGCACGUCAGAUUGCACAGUGGACACAGGCCAUAUGAGUACCGUGAGUACGAAGAGAAGCCAUAUAAGUGCAAGGAAUGUGGGAAAGCCUUCAGUUCCCGCAAAUCUGUUCACAGACACGAAAGGACUCACACUGGAGAGAAACCCUACGGAUGUCAGGAAUGCGGGAAGGCUUUCACGUGGCUCACAACUUUUCGAAGACACGUGAUAACUCACACGGGAGAUGGGCCCUUUAAGUGUAAGGACUGCGGGAAGGCUUUCAGUGGCUCCACGUCGUUGCGGACACAUGAAAGGACGCACACCGGGGAGAAACCCUAUCAGUGUAAACAGUGUGGCAAGUCCCUCAGGUCCCCGCUAGGCUUGCGAAUACACGAAAGGAAUCACAGCGGGGAGAAGCCCUACGAGUGUCCGCGGUGCGGAAAAGCCCUCAGUUGCCCCAGCUCCUUUCGAAGACACGAAAGGACUCACACCGCCGAGAAACAGUACGCAUGUAAGCAGUGUGAGAAGACCUUCAGUUCUCCUCUGGGUUUGCGAAUACAUGAAAGAAUUCACUCCGGGGAGAAACCGUAUGAAUGUAAGGAAUGCGGGAAAGCCUUCGUCUCUCUGUCAAGCAUUCGAACGCACAUGAUCACGCACACCGGCGACGGGCCUUACAAAUGCAAGGAAUGCGGGAAGGCCUUCAUUUGCCCCAGUUCCUUUCGCUCCCACGAAAGGACACACACCGGAGAGAAGCCCUAUGAGUGUAAGCAGUGUGGGAAAACCUUCAGUUGGCCCAGUUCCUUUCGAAUCCACGAGAGGACUCACACGGGGGAGAAACCCUACGCGUGUAAGGAGUGCGGGAAGACCUUCAUUUAUCGCACCACCUUUCAGGGACACGUGAGAAAGCACACUGGAGAGAAACCCUAUAAGUGUAAAGAGUGUGGGAAAGCCUUCAUUUCUCCCUCGAGCGUUCGAACGCACAUGAUCACGCACACGGGAGAUGGACCUUAUAAGUGUAAGGAGUGCGGGAAAGCCUUCAAUUUCCCCAGUUCCUUUCGCAUCCAUGAAAGGACUCACACGGGAGAGAAGCCCUACGAGUGUAAACAGUGUGGAAGAGCCUUCAGUUGUUACACGUCCUUCCGGACACAUGAAAAAACUCACACCGGAGAGAAACCCUAUGAGUGUAGGGAAUGCGGGAAAGCCUUCAUUUAUCGCACUACCUUUCGAGGACACGUGAGAAUGCACACGGGAGAGAAACCCUACAAAUGUCAAGAAUGCGGGAAAGCCUUCAGUCGUCCCAAUUCCUUUCGAAGGCAUGAAAGAUCUCACACCGAGUAGAAGCCUCCUGAAGGUAAGCCGUGCGGGGAGAAACGUUUGCUCUUCAUCCUUACGUGUGAAAACCCCCGCCGGAAAGAAACACGAUAAAUCUAAGAAGGCCUGACACAAAUCAGUCCGUGUAUAGUGUUCCAGAAAACUGUAACGUGAAAGAAUCAUUAUAAAAGCUAUAAAUAUAUUGUCUUGAUCAGCGCCUCAUUCUUACGGCGGAUCUCUGGACUCCGGGUAUUUACUGCUUGCUUCCAGCAAUGAACGCUGAGGAGAUCUGGAAGGUGGUACAGGAGGCGUCAGGUUUCAGAGCCACCAUACAGAGAGACGGACGGAUGCGCAGGAGCUUUGAGGAUACCCGCUUGCAGCCUGUGUUCCCGAUUCCCUGCCCCGCCAAUCAAGAGUGCCCUCAGAGCCAGUUAACUGCUUGACUUCAUCUUCCCAGAGGUAUAGGUUUCCGCAGAUACCUCCCCACGCUCCACAUAAAAGGUCCGUCACAGUCUAGAGGACUGUGGGGAUGUGCCCACCAGGCAACUAAUUUGAACUUCCGUGGUUGGGAGUAUUCCCUGAUGCUCAGACUCUCCUCUCCUCUCUAGAUUAUAGUCACACAAGCUCUUAUUUGCACAGUGAACACCUUGUUCUGCUAAUACCACGAGUGACCGUGUAUUCCUGACUCCACUCCGGUGACGCAGUCCAUAGAACCACAGGUGACACUGCUCCUGACCCUGCCCUUCCCUGGAGGACUGGCGCCUUCCUCCCGUCAGGCAGGUUAUGGAGGAGGGUUCCCUUUGCUCGCAGCUGUGCGUAAUUCCUCGGUACGGUUUCGAGUAUGUUCGAGCGUAUGUGAUUAAAAGCAGUGCAUCUG